ensembl:lncRNA LOC108351161 uncharacterized LOC108351161
GUGUUCUAGCAAGGGCUAGUGGCUCAAAUGAGUGAGGAGGCCAGGUCUUGAACUUGAGGCUCCGAGCUGCAAGCUACAUAGCCCCUUUCUCCCAAUAAGCUGACCGCCUCGGGAUUUCACUGUAGGAGCACGACAGUGACUAAUAUUCCAGUCCUUACUCUUCCCUUUCUCAUUGUUUGAUUUCAGCGUAUAGUCCUUGGUUCCAUUGAUCUUGGGCUAUGAAGAUCAUCACAGUAGCAGAAGCACGUGAAGAACAAGACCAUUCGUCUCCUACCAGAGAGAAAAGUGCCAAAGAGCUUCUCAUGGUGUACCAGCUGCUUCUUCCUGGUUCAGCAGACCCAUGCCAUUCAGAGGAGCCUUGCAGUUUCUUCUGGAUCAAGCCGCUGCUACUGAUUUAUGUUUGGUAUUUUGGACUGGACUGUUGUUCUGACAACAAAGACUGGAAUCGACCUAGAGAAUUACUUCUAAACAGGACCACAUCCCCCAUCGCCCAUUAAUCUUUCUUUUCCCUACCUCUGGUAGAUUGGCUAGAAGGGAGGUUGAAGAGUUUAAAAUUCCUUAUUAAAGUAGGUUUUGAAAAACCUAAACCUACAAAUUAUGAUUUAACUGGAAAUUUCAGAUGCAGGAAAAUUAAAAGAAAAACAAAACAAAACCUACAACCCCGGAUGUUUUGACUACGAACCUGCAGAAUUUAAUUUGUGUCAACAUUAUUUGGGUUACAAAAAAACAUGAUAGAGUUUGUGAAGCAAGAGUGAGUCGUGUCUGAAAAGGAAGUCAUUUUUAGCAUUCUGACAGGAGGAUGUGGUCUUCCAAAGUUAGAAAACUGUCACUUUUGGUAAAUGGAGCAACUAGCUUCCAGAGGAAAGGUCUUGAGUUGUUAGACAGGAAUUCUGAGUUCAAGUCCUAGGAUCUCCUUUGCUGAAGCAUUUGGACAAGUACCUUAUGUCUCUGAUUUUCAGUUGUUGUUGUUGUUUUGUAAGGGAGGGGUGAUUUUUCUCAAGACAGGGUUUCUCUGAGUAGCCCUGGCCAUCUCAGAACUCACUUUGUAGACCAGGAAACUAUGUGCAGAUCUGCCUGCCUGCUACCGCCUCUUGGAGCUCUGGGAUUAAAGGCAUGUGUCACC